ACUGCAGAACAUGAGGAUCUCAGUUAGUGAGCUCUUGGGACCUCAGUUCCCCACCCAUCAAAUGACUCAGUCUCUUUCUCAGGAUUCUUCCUGCUCAGAAUCUACAGUAUUUUGGGGGUGUCUGACGCCUGGUGGACCGCCUAGAAAACAUGAGGAAGAACGUGGCUGGGGAUGGGGUGAACCGCUGCAUACUGUGUGGAGAACAGCUGGGGAUGCUGGGCUCUGCCUGUGUAGUAUGUGAGGACUGUAAGAAGAACGUCUGCACCAAGUGCGGAGUGGAGACCAACAACCGCCUGCAUUCUGUGUGGCUCUGCAAAAUCUGCAUUGAGCAGAGGGAGGUGUGGAAGCGUUCUGGAGCGUGGUUCUUCAAAGGCUUCCCCAAACAGGUCCUCCCACAGCCUAUGCCUAUAAAGAAGACCAAGCCCCAGCAGCCUGUCAGUGAGCCUGCUGCCCCUGAACAGCCUGCUCCUGAGCCCAAGCACCCUGCCCGGGCUCCAGCUCGAGGUGACAGUGAAGAUAGGAGGGGCCCGGGUCAGAAGACAGGCCCUGACCCGGCCUCUGCUCCCGGG
rnacentral:sRNA from 1 species